rnacentral:rRNA from 1 species
CGCGGGGGGGGGAGCUAUUAGAAGUAUUCCCCUCUCUAACCCAUACGCCUGGUUUGUUCUGCCCGGUAGGAGGUAUUUUUUCCGGUUCCCCCCGACUUAUUGGGGGGGGCGCAAAACACUUUCUUAGGUGUGUGGGGUGGGGCGAGGCUACGGCCCGGGGGGGGAAAUAAAUUCUGUUGUGCGGUGUCGAAAUACUCGCGAAUCGGACACCCAACAUUUGACCCGCACUCGCCAGAGUGAACGUGAGUUGGAUCUUGGCUCAGGAUGAACGCUGGCGGCGUGCUUUACACAUGCAAGUCGAACGGUGAAGCAGAGCUUGCUCUGUGGAUCAGUGGCGAACGAUGUGAGUAACAGGUGAGCACUCAGGGCCUGACUCUUGGCUAAGCGCUGGAAACGGCGUCUAAUACCGGAUAAGAGCCGCGGCAGCAUGGUCAGUAUGUGGAAAGAAUCUCGGUCAGGGAUGAGCGGGCGGCAUGUCAGCUAGUUGGUGAGGUAAUGGCUGGCCAAGGCGUAUACGGGUAGCCGUCCUGAGAGGGUGACCGGCCACGCUGGGACUGGGUCACGGCCCUGACUCAUAUGGGAGGCAGCAGUGGGGAAUAUUGCAGAAGGGGCGAAAGCGUGAUGCAGCAAUGCCGCGUGAGGGAUGACGGCAUUGGGGUAGUAAACCUCUUUUAGCAGGGAAGAAGAGAAGGUGAUGGCACAUGCAGAAAAAGCGCCGGGUAAGUAGUGUGCCAGCGGCCGCGGUAAUACGUGGGGGCGCAACAGUUAUUCGCAAUUAUUGGUCGUAAAGAGCUCGAGGACGGUCUGUCGCCUUGGGUGUUAAAACCCGAGUCUCAGCCUCGGGCCUGCAGUCGGGAAAGUCCGCCUACAUUGCCGUAGGGGAGAAUGGAAUUCCUGGAGUAGCGGUGAAAUGGGCAGAUAUCGGGAGGAACACCGGUGGCGGAGGCCGUCCUCUGGGCCCUUCCGCUUCUGGAUGCGAAGCCGCGCCCCCCAAAAAGGG